rnacentral:rRNA from 1 species
UACGAAGGGGGCUAGCGUUGCUCGGAUUUACUGGGCGUAAAGGGCGCGUAGGCGGACAGUUUAGUCAGAGGUGAAAGCCCAGGGCUCAACCUUGGAAUUGCCUUUGAUACUGGCUGUCUUGAGUACGGGAGAGGUGAGUGGAACUCCGAGUGUAGAGGUGAAAUUCGUAGAUAUCGGGAGGAACACCGGUGGCGAAGGCGGCGAUCUGGGUCGAUACUGACGCUGAGGUGCGAAAGCGUGGGGAGCAAACAGG